UGAGUUUCCACAUCCUUUAUCCCGUGUCAAGCAACCAGCUGGAUAUCGGGUGAGACCAUUAAAUUCUGUCCUUUACCACAUGAUUUGACUCCUCCAUUCUUAUGAUGCUUUUGUGGUUGAUUGUUGGCCCUUCCUCUUUUGCAGCUGUCAUAUCAAAUUGUUGACUCCUUGAUUUGGCUGGGAAUACGGGACAUGAUAAAUGAUGUUAGGAAAAAGAAGCUGAUGCUACAACCUGUGACAUAUUUAAGUGGUUCCCAGGGUUUUGAUUCAGAUGUGCCUCAUGGGUAUAUAUGGAGUCCGCACCUUGUUCCUAAACCAAAAGGUUGUCACUUUGGACAUGAUACUGUUGAAAGAUAUCAUACCUCAUCUGAUCGUCAUUUUGUCUAUCAAUAAAAUGUUCCCUUUUCUCUAUCACUAUGUACAUUCUUGACCAACAAAGAGCCCAAGAAAACCUCUGAAGAUUUUUAUGAGAUUAUGUUAUCGGCCAUUUUUGCCAUAACUUCAGAAUCUUAGAUUGUCUGCGUUGUUUGAUCUGGGUACCAUUGCUACAUUAUGGAAGUAGCAUGGAGCCCUGUUUCAUUACUGUUGUCAAUAUUUUUCGUUCUUAAUUGCAAUACUUUUUUAUGAGCUGAUUUGGCUAGCUGCUUUUUUAGUGGCUAAAGCUGUUCUGGGUCUUUUGUAUCUGCUUUGCUUAAUUUGGUGAUACUUAUUCAAUGCUUUGUUGGGUAGAGUUUAGUGUACUUUUUGCAUAAAUGUCAUAUAUCAUCAAUACCUGUACAUUUUUGUCUUCAUCACACAUUUGAAUAAGUACAAUGCAGAACAAAUUAUUUGAGGGAUGCUUAUUUCUGGUUUACUUUUUUAUUGCAUGAUUUGCAGAUUGGGGACCUAAGGUUGAUGUGGUUGGAUUUUGCUUUCUUGAUCUUGCAUCAAACUAUGAACCUCCAGAAUCACUUGUAAAAUGGCUUGAAGCUGGUUCAAAGCCUAUUUACAUUGGAUUUGGUAGCCUUGUGAGUUUGUUUUGUUGGACCUCAAAUUAUUUCUCUGUUAUUGUGGAUUAUGAACUUUACAAACUAUUGAGGCCUUCUUUAGUGUGGUAUUUUGAGCUGUGAAACUCUGAGGCUUGGCCUCUUUGAUCCUUGAAGCCCUUAAUUAUUGAUGAAUAUAAAUCCAAUUUACAAAAAGACCAAUCACAACUAGGACUGUUGACUCCUUCAAGUAUUGAACUUUAUUAGAAAGGUCAAUAUUCUUUUGUUUAUAUUAUGAGUUACCAAUGCUCAUAACUUGUAGUAACCUUUUCUUGGUAUGUGGAUAUAUAAAAUCCUAUGAAAUGUAGUGUGAGGAUAUAAAAUAACUAUAGGAAAGGAUGCUUUAUCUGUGAAUAAAAUGGGUAGGAGGAAGUGAGCGAAGUUUAAUUCAAAUUACCAGCUUGAUGUGAUUUAUCAAGUCCGUACUAGUAAAGUCUGUUUCCUCUUUCCUUCAUCACAAUAUGUUCAUUUUAACAAUCAUUUUCAUGAUACGGUCUAAUUAUAUUUGACCAUGUGACUUAUUUGAGAAAAACUGGUAAAAGGUUUUCAAUUUUCUUUUAAAAUUUAAGGUAAAGAUGAAUAAGUUGCUAAUAUUUUUCAAUUCUGUGUUUUUUAGUAAACAACGUCACUGUAGUGUUUUCUGGAAGUGGACUCAUUCAAUCUUCUAGUAGAUGUAGCAUUCCCUAAUCAAGUAUUGACUAUGCAUGAGUGCGUUUUAGAUCCCCCGAAACAAGAGUAAAUACUGGCAUGAUAUAGGAUCUUUGAUUCUUCAUUAUAUUAGCUCUCAACUUCUUUAUUUUUAUUUGUCCCUGCUCUUUCUCUUGUUACUCAGCCUGUUCAAGAGCCAGAAAAAACGACCCAGAUAAUCGUGGAAGCAUUUGAACAAACUGGACAGAGGGGUAUUAUAAACAAAGGCUGGGGUGGCCUUGGUAACCGUAAGUUUUUACUGAUGAAGCGCUUCAUCUGUUACCUAUAACCCUCUGUUAUCUCUUCUUAUUCUUCUACUUGUUUCCCUACCACAUUGUGUAGCCAUAUGAACGAGACUUCAAAUGCACUUAGUUGUAUCUUAUUUCCUUUUCAGUGGCUGAACCAAAGGACUCAAUAUACCUAUUGGACAACAUUCCCCAUGACUGGUUGUUCUUACAAUGCAAGGCUGUGGUAAGUCUGCAGCUCUUGAGCAGGUUCAACAUUAUGUUCAUUCAUCGUCAUGUGUACUUUGAUUGUUUAUUGUCUUCAUUGUGGAAUGCGUUUAGUUAGUUAUGGUAAUUAUAGGCCCGGCCAUGCUUCCAGUCGGUCCUGCCUUCUCCUGGGAUGAUGGAUGUUAUCAUAAAAUAUUGUUGAGUUACCCUCAUGCCCUAUUGUUGCUUGAUCUCAAUGUGGGGACCAGUAUUAUCUACACUAAUUUAUGUCGUAUAAUCAUCAUGCGUACUCAGUAAAAUUAGAAUGUUAGAUAUAUGUACAGAAAAAGGUAUGAUUGAAUUAAACCAAGGGGAUGAUUUCUUCUUCUUGCGUUGACACUGGUGUAGAUUAACAUUGGAGUGGAAAUAAGCAGAGAGACGAGGUGUUUUCUUAAAAAUUUUUGGACGGAUUUUAUAUGAAUCUAGUAAUAAAGCAUGAUAUAUUUAUAUUCGUUAUGGCAAGAUCAUUGCUGGGUAAAUGCAUGUGGAAGUAUUCGACGAGAAUCGAGAAAUCCUUUCAACUCUCUUUGAAAUUUCUUUUGAUGUUACACUGUUUCAUUUUUUUUUUUUUUUUUGUCUUUUGUGCUUGUGAUGGCAAGAUCUUAUUGGUCUUCCUUUGUUUUCAGGUUCAUCACGGUGGUGCGGGUACAACUGCAGCCGGUCUUAGAGCUGCGGUAAUAUUGAUGGCUAUCUUUUAACAUAGAUUAAGUACUUACACUUCUGCAUGACGUGAUUCGUGCCUUAUGUUGACAAAUUUGUUGAAAUAUAGUGCCCAACAACCAUUGUACCUUUCUUCGGUGACCAGCCUUUCUGGGGAGAGCGAGUACAUGCCAGAGGAGUAGGUCCUCCGCCCAUUCCGGUUGAUGAAUUCUCACUUCCCAAGUUGAUUAAUGCAAUAAAUUUCAUGCUAGAUCCAAAGGUAGUAGAAAUUUUUUUGCAUUCCCCAAUUAAUUAUUUAACUUUAUAUUUGCUUAGGCCUAGUCGUACUGAGCUUCAUCUUAAAGAAAGGACAGAGUUCUUUUUUGCUUUUCUAAUCAAAAUGCAUCCUGCAAAGCAUGCCAAAAGUCUGAACAGUAGCUCUGCUUUUGAACUAUUUGUGCGAUGACUGAUACACCUGCCCAGAAAUAAGAUAGUCUUAUCACGGCAGUACAGGAUGUAUUAGGUGGAAUAAUUUAAGAGUUCAGUCUUACCUGAUAAGAUGAAAGAAAAAGCAGUAACACAAUCAAAUGAAUUUGAAUUUCCAUAUUUGGGUAGAGCAUUAGGAUACUUUUGAUGGGGAUUUAAUUCAUAGAAGAAAGUGCAAGUGCAAGAAAUGUUUUUAACCAUAUUGGAUUAUGAUUCUGACGCAUAGGAAACAUGACAGGUGAAGGAGCGUGCAGUUGAACUUGCCGAGGCCAUGGAGAAGGAAGACGGGGUAACUGGAGCAGUGAAAGCGUUUUUUAAACAUUAUCCUCGCUCAAAGACUCAGCCUAAGCCGGAGAGGGUAGAAAUCUAAGGCUCUAUUUGAUAUUACUGUUUGUGUGCAAUGACGUUGGGUGGUGGGUGGUCGAGAUUGUGCAUGAGCUGCUGCCUCUCUUUCUUGUAAUAGUAUUCAUGUUAAUAACAUAUUAGAUGUGUGUGUGUUUUAGAUGUUCUGUUUUCUUUUAAUUUAAUGGUUAAAAAUCGAGCAAGGGCUCGAAUUCUUAUCCCGAUGUAAUUGGCUCCUAAUCCUUGAGCCUUAAUCCCACCUUUGACCCUUAAAAAAUUUUACAAAAAGUUUAUCACAGCUUGCAAGUGGGUUUGAUACUUAUUAAAACUUGUAGUGACGGAUUUUUUUUUUUAAAUAUAUAUAAUCCACAAGAAAUUGCAUACGGAUUUAAUAAUUUAAAUUUUUUACGAAUUUGAAUAUGAAUUUAAUAAUGUUUAGGGAUGGCAAUGGGGAGGGGAGGGGAGGGGACCAAUCACCCUGUACCCAUCCCUGAUAUUUUGCGUAUGUCCAUGUCCCUUCUCUAUCUCUGUCAAAAUUAUUUAAGAGAAUCCUCAUUCCCUCCCCGAAUAAUAAUAGGGGAUCCCCGAAGGUCCCCGAUCCCCGAAUAACUAAUAUAUAUUUUUUGUUUUCGAUUUUGAGUUAAUCAUAUUAAAAUAAAAAAUUCAAAUAAAAGUAAAGUUCGAAAUAUAUCUUACAUUAAUAUCCAUUACAAAAGUCACAUACAUUAAAUUAGUAAGUAACACAGCAUGCAAGGGAUACAAACUAUCAUGAACAAAUUAAUAGCCUAAUACAAAAUUGUUACAAAUAAAAUUAAAUUUAGAUUCAAAAUUAACUUUUCAAUGGUGGCGUGGGCACUUUAUAAAUGUAGACUAUUCUUUUUACAACACAAUAGUUAAGUCGAAGCAAAUCAAGAGCAAAAAUUAGAUUAUAUUAGAUAUUAAAAUUGUGAUUUGCUGUGGGCAAUUAUAACAUCUAAAAAUAAAUAAAUAAAAAAUAGAUUUAAGUUAAAAAUAUUUAAUGAAUAUUAAAAUUAAAACAAAAGUUUUGGGCUAAUAGAAUCUGUCCGAUCUUUUUAAUGUCCUAAAUAAAAAUUUAGGACUUUAAUUAGUUAAUUAGGCCUAAAAGUUUAAUAAUAUAAAUAUUUUGAUAUUUUUUAUUUUUACCAAUACUUAUAAUUUUAUAAUUCAAAUUUUAUUAUUUAUUUACUAGUAAUUUUAAAAAUUAAAAAUUAAAAUGAGGAAAUGGGUAGGGGAUGGGGAUUCCACCUCAUCUCCGUCCCCUCCCUGAAUAAGAAAUUAGGUAUAAAAUUAUCUCCAUAUCCUCCCCAAAUAAAAAAAAUUUCCAAAAAUACCCGUCCCUGUAGAAAUUUUUACCAUCCCUAAUAAUGUUAAACCCCGAUCGCGUGGUACUCAUUGCAUCGCUACUGAUGACUGCUGGUGUUCGAAUGAAAAAUCAUUUAUGAGCAGAAGAAGAUCUUGUGGGUCCUGGAAAGCAAAUAAUCUAAGGCUCUAUUUGAUAUUACUGUUUAGCCGUUCCAAGUUAUUUACUAAACAAUUACAAUUACAAUUUUAAUUUAAAAAUAAAAAAUGGUUUUAUUCACAGUUGUUCAAUGAAAACUUUACAUUAUUAUUUUUUCAAUUAACUUUAAAAAUUAUAUUUAUUAAAUACUAAUAACUUUAUCUUAUAACUAUAACUUUUAUGUCACAUGACUUGUGGCCAAAGUCUCACUGUAUAGGAACACAUUAUCCUUUUUUCUUUCUCAUGAACAAGUUUAUUGCGUUACCAUCAUUAUCGUACAGCUAUAAUGAUUAAGUGUUAUUGUUCAAUUAUUGAUGGACCACACAAUCAGAUUUUUACAAGAAUUUUUGUAUUUAAAUAAAUGAAUCGAAUUGGAAUGAAAUCAAAAUUGAAUGGAUUUGAAUACCAUUCAUUUAUUAUAUGAAUAUCUAUUUAAUUUCUUUAUUGUAUAAAAUUAAACAAAUCGAUUGAAUUUAGAUUCGUUUAUAUUUUUUUAUAUAAAAUUAAUAACAAAUCAAUUGAAUAUGGGUUCAUUUACAAAAACAAUAAUUAAUAAAUAAAAAUCAAGCAAAAUAGAAUAGAACUGCAAAAUUAAAAUCCUACCAAAAACAAACGAAUCACAAAUGGAUAAAUAAAUAAGUGACCUCAAAAUAACAAUUCGAUUCCACCAAUUUAAUAAACAAAUUAAUCUUUUCAAACCGAGACCCGUUUAAUUUAAAUCAAAUUGCAUUAAAUAAAUAUAUCACAACUUAAAUUGCCACCCCUACUCAUAAAUGAAGCAGUUAUGUGUCGACUAACUGUUUUUUCUUUAUUUUUAAAGAUUAGUCAACUGAAGUAAAUUAGGCCGACUUGUGGACUACUGCCCUCACAUUAGAGUCUUAAUGGACUCAGUUUUUCCCCUCAAUUAAGAAUAAUAGAGUGGAGGUCAUUGCAAUCUUUCUUAAAAGAUUGAGAGGGUAGAAAUCUAUCUAAUUAUCUAAUUGUAAUGCCAUCAAAUGCUUCAUAAGGAUGUAAUAUAAUAAGAAUUUAAUGCAAAACUAAUAAUACCAGUAGUUGUCUAAUUAUAAUAUCAGUAGUUUUCUAUAAUAAUAUCAAAUGUCCUAUCAAGUCAUCUAACUGUAUCAUUCGUAUUAAACUAAAACAAAAAAAAAAAAAAACUGAAGCAAAUUGAAAGAAAGGUGAAUAGUGUUGCUUUGGUUUCUGAAUAUAUUAUUGGUAAUUUUUUAUUUAUUAGUUGGGUUAUUUUUAGAGACCUCCCCUGAGGUUUAGUGUAUUAACAACUAGAUAAAAUAUAUUGAUAUAAUUACAGAAACUUCCCCUGCUGUUAGUAUAAAAAUAUAUAUGGCAUCAGUAUAGAAGGGUAAAUGUGUAAAAUUAUAUUUAAAAUUCAAAAUAUAUUUUUACUAGAUCAAUGAUAUUUUGACUGACUUGCCCGCUGUUGAUCGAACUUAACCAGUUGGCCAUGACUCCACCGGCAGCUAAUAGUGGUGCUUUGCCACUGCCGGAGUCCCCUCUUCACCCUGGUUACCAACCCCAGUCACGGAAGCCUCUGAAUCAGCCAUAGCCACCAUCACGCAUUAACCCAAAAAGAUGGCUUUUGUCUCACAACAGCCCCCACACCGGCAGCACCCCUUUGGUCAUUGCUGAUGUCACCCAACUGCUAUCACCCUUGAGCCAUCCCAAAACUUAACCACACACAGCUCUCAAAACCAUAGCUCACGGCUGGUCACACCGCAUACCACUACCGUAAUUUCUACCAUAAGUGAUGGUUCCAUUUCGUCGUCGUCUAUCCCCUCAACCAACCCCCAUGAAGUCCUGGCCUCAAUAAACAUCUCAACAGCCACAAAACCCACAUUCAAACUCAUGAGAUCUCGCUGCCGCCAUCUUGUCAAAGUCCGUUGAUGGUGCUUCACUGCAAACGGAACCUCUUUAAGCCCAACACACCACCAAUAGGCAUUUUGUUGAACUGGGUUUUCAAACAAUUUGUUGAUUCUAACGCAGUUAAUUGCUUUGUUGAACUAGGUUUUCAAACAAUUUGUUAAGAGUCCAAAUCUGGCUACGGCUGCAAGACCGUGAAAUCUCCUGAAAGCAAGAACAAUUGACUGGCUUUGCAUCUCUUUGUCUUUUAGAUAGGCACCAGCUUUCGGAUCCUUUGCAGCCAACUGAUCAAUUAUUAAAAAUAGUCAGAGACAUAAGAAGGGAAGCCGUAAACAUUUGGAGGACACGGGUUGGUUUCGAAAGCAUAGAGCUGGGCAACGGAGAAAGAAAGGAAGGGAACAAGGUAGAAAGAAGACAAGAUGGCGUUGAAAGUGUAUAAGCCAAGCCAAAGGACGGCGACAAGGAAGAUGGCAGGCAGCAAAAACAGUGGUUGAAGACCCUGUUAAUCGGUGGAAGCAGCAGCCGGCCAAACCUAUUACCCAUAAAUUCUCAAAGCUACAUUUAAUAAUUUAUUAUUUUGUUGAGAAGGGUAUUUUAGUAAUUUUGAGAGUCUACUAACAGUCAACUUAAUGACUAAUUAACGGCAAGAGAGGUUUCUAUAAUUAUAACAAUAUAUUCUAUCUAAAUGUUAAUAAAUUAAACCUCAGGGGAGAUCCUUAAAAAUAAUCCUUUAUUGAUUAUACUCGUUUUAAUGCUUUUGUCUGAUGAUCACAUGCUUACAUCUGUGAAAGAGAGAGAACGAUCGACUGGGACUGAAUGAUGGAGGACAAAAUUGUUGCAAAAGAAGAUGACACGGAGGAAAAAAACAACGAAAUUCUAUAGCCGUAGGGUGUAGCCCGCACAAUCAGAGAAUAUUUCAUUUUUCACAUCAGAUUUCAUUUAUUUGACCAAAAUGCCCUUACUCGGACAGUUUGCACACGUGUCAAUAAAGAUCGAAAACUAAAUAAAUGAAAAAACCGCAAGAAUCCAUAGGACCCGUCACCCACUGCGUCGGGCGUGCCUUCUCUCUCGAGUCUUCAGAAUCCGCGAAAGCAAAAAUCUCCCUUGUUUUACGCCACUAGUGAGAAUCCAUAACACACACACACACACACACACACACAUAACGGCUCGAUUUUGAAAUUUAAAAAUUAAAAUGAACUAAAAACAACGCCCUCUGAAAUCUAUAACGUAAGUUGGAUCUGGAUCAGAAGCAUUGAGGCAAUCUUGAUCGACGGUUCUUGCCGCAAUCGGAGUCAUCGCCGAUGGCGGAGCCACCUGUGAAGUCGCGGAGCUCUUCUUCCUCGAGCUCCAGUGAAGUUUCUAUUAAGCUUGAGCGCGAAAUUGGCGGUGGAAGUAGCAGUGAAGGUAAAGAAGUGUACAACAGAGAGACGAGUACCAGUGUGAGUGCCGUAAAAAAUGGAAAUGCUGAGUCCUCCGGUUAGUUGAUUUUUUUUUUCCUUUUUUUUCUGCAUACUUACUGAAAUUAUUAUUCGCAAGCAAAUCCUGAACUUCCAAGGAUAAGAUUGAGCCUAUAAGGGGAGCGUAUUGAGAGUUUCUUACGUAUUUUAUAUGUAGGUUUUCAUAUUAUUAUGUUCUUAUUGUUUGUUUUUGUAGGAGAUUCUAUCAGAGAUAGACCUAGUGUUCCUAGUAUUCCCAGGACCAACAGUUAUCCGGUGGAGGUGUUGAGCACCAAAAAGUUGGAACCACAAACUUCAGGUGAGCUGAGGUUGGAAAGGGCAAAAACUGAGACUCAUAGACCGCGUGCUAUACUUGCAAAACAUGCAGCACAAAUUUUUGACAACAAGAUUCCUGUCCAGCAGAAGGUAUGACUUAUUACAAAUAUUUGUUGAGAUCAGCCUCGAAUCUCUGUGAAGCAUUUUGUUCACACAUUGUGGCUACGGUUUUGCUAGCAUAGUCAGGAAUCCUUAUUACCCCGUAGAAUACUUGGUUAGCAUACUGAACAUUGUCAAAUUUUCCCUUUUAUAAGCACUAUUUGAAUUCUAUGACUACUUCUGUAGAAUGAUAAAAUUUGCUAGUUUUUCACUGCUAUGAGAAAUUCAUAUUGCUUUGAAGCGGACGAUCACCUUUGGAAGCAGCUGACUGGGGCAGUGGUUUUGAGUUUGCUUGCUCUUCCCGUGCACUCUAAGAAACAAACUGGAUUACCAGGUGGAAGGCACAGCCCACAUGAUUCAAUUAGAACAGGGAGCAAUCAUUUAUUUUUUUUUAAUCUUCGUGACCUAAACUCAAAGCAGCUGCCUCUAGCUAUUAAUUGAAUACCAUAAGCUCACAAGCCAGAAACAAUGGUCUUCUUUCCAUCAGUCUUAGGCCGGUCCCUUUUUAGAGUUCGAAGAGAAAGAAAGGAGUGCGGGCGCCCUUAUUUUUUUUCAUGCGGACACGUUUUUAAGCUGUGCGGUUUUAUAGAGUCAGAUUUUAAUGCUAUUAAACUGUAUGGUUUUAUAGUGAAAUUAAAAAUAACUCUUUUAAGCUGCAUGUUUAACAGCAUGUCUGCAUUAAAAAAAAAUGAGGGCGUCCACACCUGAGAAUGAAUAUAUAUAUAUAUAUAUAUAUAUAUAUAGAGAGAGAGAGAGAGAGAGAGAGAGAGAGAGCAGACUAAAGAAAGCAGAUGUGACCACUGCGCUUUACCAAUCUAUUAGUUAGGGAAAUGGAGCACCUUAUCAUUGAGGAAAACUUGAACCUGUCUGCUAGGAGCCUCUUUCCAUUUUAUAAGCGCUGUUCGAAUUCUAUGACUAUUUCCGUAGAAUGAUUUAAUUUGCUAGUUUUUCACAAUUCUUUAGUGCAAUAAGGUGAAUCAUAUUGAACAUUUUGUGUGGGACAACUUUGUAUGAUUGGAACUUGUUGGAAGAUUACAAUAACCUGCCCUUGUAGAGUUUAUUCGAUACUUAAAUCUCUGUAUAGACAAGUUCAUUUGAGGGCUGAUUUUCUGUAAUUUCUCUUGUGAGAUGUUUGCCUAAAAUAUCACAUUGGGGAUGUAGUGACAUGCCUUUAGGUAAUGUACUGCUAGAAACAUUUUACAAUUGCUAUUUGUUCCUUGGUCAUUUGAAAUGAUGGUCAUGUGUACUCCAGUACUUGAUUUGAUCUACAUGCGUGGCCUAAAUUGAUAAACACCUUGGUACUUGACCUGUUAAAGUUGAAGCUCACUCGGUCAUUGCCCAUCUUAUAUCUCCUCUUGUAAUGUACACUGUUAUAAUUGCUCUUAUGGUUGUUGCUAUCAUUACAAUUUUUUAAUUGCAGCAGUCAGUCUCCGUACCACUAACAUUAAGUAUUUCAUUGUUUUUGUGCCCUGGGAUUUUAUUGAAUGUUUAAAAUCUGUGCAGAUCCAAUUGUUGAAUAGAAUAGCUACUGUGAAAGAUGAUGGAACUGUAGAAUUCGAAGUUCCUGGGGAUAUUGGACCCCACGACCUUGGUGCUGCGUCUCAAGAUGUAUGCACUGAGGUUGCUCAUGAUGAGCCCCUCGAUGCAACAGAUCUUCAGUACAUUCCACCAUUGCAAAUAGUAAUGCUUAUUGUUGGCACACGUGGUGAUGUGCAACCUUUUGUUGCAAUUGGCAAACGUUUGCAGGUGAGAAGCAUAUCUUCACAUUCAAAAUUUUCCCUGUUUUUCUUCCUUGAGUUCAGUUUGCAGUAAUGUGUUGAUCAUCUAACAUUUGUAAUUCUAGAUGUGAGCUUAUGUAUUCUACUCAAUAUUUUCUAAUAACUUCGAUUGAUAAUGGCUCCUUGGAUUGGUUAUGUUUGGUAAAGUGUUAUAUAAACGCAAAAGAAAGUUCAAUCUUUUUGCCGCGUUUACCUUCUUUUUCUUGUUAUGCUGUAUUUUUUAUUUUCUGAAUUGUAGAUAGUCAAAAUUUGUGCUCAUUUCUAGUCAAUGGAAAGAAGCAUGAAAAUUUUGAAAUUUGAAAUUUUUUACUUUCAGCAGUUGAAGAAGUUAUUAUAUGUGGAUUCAAUAUUUUUACCAGAGAUGUGCAUGCAGGACUAUGGCCAUCGCGUUAGAUUAGCAACUCAUUCAAAUUUCAAGGAUUUUGUCCUGACUGCUGGGUUGGAGUUCUAUCCUUUAGGUGGUGAUCCGAAAGUUCUUGCAGGAUGUAUGUAUCUAAAUGUGUCAGUUACAUUUAUACUAGAAACACACACACACACACACACACACGUAUAUGUAUGUAUAUGUGUUUGGUCCAAAUGCAUACAUGGCUCACAGUACUCAACACACAAUUGCUGCAAUUGAGUCUUUAAAUAUAUCUGGGGCUGUGAACCUCUUCUGAUUAUCAGCAAAUCUAAUUAUUGUUUCUAUCAUGUUGAAAUUAAGGAAAAUUAUUCUAAUUUUUUCCUUGUAAAAUCAUAGGUUUCAAGAAGUUGGUUGAUUUGCCCACUCGAAAGAGUGUUUCUGUUUCCAGUUUGUCGCCUUGCAUUUCUUAUUAGGAUUCAUUCAUGUUCUCUUUCUUAUUUCAUUUAUGAAAAUUAUGCUCAAUGAUAAUGUAGCUCCCUUCCCCAAAUUUGUUUUCCUUGGACAUUUACUGUCUUUGGUGGUUUUUACUUUCAGCAGAAAACUACAAAGAUAUAUUCUUGAGAUUUACUAAAUCAAGAUUUGAUUCAAAAUAUUUUGCACAACCAAUAUAAAUAAACUUGCAGAAGCUUUUAUUGGCAACUUAUAAUUAAUGGUUUUACUUUUUACUGAACAGAUAUGGUCAAAAAUAAAGGCUUCUUGCCAUCAGGCCCUUCUGAGAUACCAGUUCAAAGAAAUCAAAUGAAGGAAAUUAUAUACUCUUUACUUCCAGCUUGCAGAGAUCCUGAUUUAGAUUCUGGAAUCGCUUUUAAGGCAGAUGCAAUCAUUGCUAAUCCCCCAGCAUAUGGUAAGGUUUUAACCUUCAAGUCUGUUAUAAUGUUUCAAAUUGUGCUGUCUAUUUUUUAUAGUCAGAUUCUAUUUGCAUUCUUCCUUUUAUAUCAUGGUAGUUAUAUCCUUUUUCUUAUUUCAUUUUCUUUUAAAUAUGUGCAUUGGAAAUUGAUCAUGCUAGACCCCUGUCAUAUCUGUAGACUCUGUCUUGUCCUUGUGACCUUUUCAUAAAUCUCAUUACGUCUAUUCUUUUUCUUAUUAAUUUCUUUUUGGAAUAUGUUGUUUGGGAAAUUAUCACUGGUUGAUCUUUGUCAUUUUAUAUGCUUAGAUCUUUUUGUUAUGGAGAAUUGUUCAAGUUAAUUUGAUAUAUAUUUUGCAAUUGACUCUGGCAAAUGCUUCUCUAGGGCAUGUCCACGUGGCAGAGGCGCUGAAAAUCCCAAUUCAUAUAUUUUUCACUAUGCCAUGGACGUAAGUCUUGUCUGGGUAAUGGAAUCUAGCUGAUUUUAUUGUAGUUUAACAUCUUUGAAGUUUUCUUUUUUACAAAUUUUGCUUUCUUCUUGUUUUGUCUCAGUUAGUUGUUUUAUUGCAUGGUUUGAUGGAGAAUCUUAAAUUGCUUUCGUCAAUCUUUUUCCUCCAGGCCAACCAGUGAGUUUCCACAUCCUUUAUCCCGUGUCAAGCAACCAGCUGGAUAUCGGGUGAGACCAUUAAAUUCUGUCCUUUACCACAUGAUUUGACUCCUCCAUUCUUAUGAUGUUUUUGUGGUUGAUUGUUGGCCCUUCCUCUUUUGCAGCUGUCAUAUCAAAUUGUUGACUCCUUGAUUUGGCUGGGAAUACGGGACAUGAUAAAUGAUGUUAGGAAAAAGAAGCUGAAGCUACGACCUGUGACAUAUUUAAGUGGUUCCCAGGGUUUUGAUUCAGAUGUGCCUCAUGGGUAUAUAUGGAGUCCGCACCUUGUUCCUAAACCAAAAG
rnacentral:lncRNA from 1 species